rnacentral:rRNA from 1 species
UCUACUUUUCGUUAAUUUUUUUUGGUUAUGAUUAAAUUUAAACUGAAAGAUAAUUAAAUUUUUAGGUGAAAUUAAAAAUUUAAUUAUAAUAUUAAAUUAUUGAGUUCAAUAAAUUAAUUUAAAAACUAGGAUUAGAUACCCUAUUAUAGUUUUAUUAGAAUAAAAGACUUUAUGAUUAAUAGUUAUGUUCUUAAAAGUAAAAAAAAUUGGCGGUAUUUUAAUCUUUUUAGAGGAACCUGUUUUUUAAUUGAUAAUCCACGUUUAUUAAUACUUGCUUUAUGGUUUAUAUAUCGUUGUUUAAAAUAUAUUAUUAGGUUAUAUUUUAUAUAAAUUUAAUUAAUCAAUUCAGAUCAAGGUGUAGCUAAUAAGUAAGUUUGAAUGGGUUACUAUAAUAAUAAUUAGGGAUUUAAAUUUAAAAAAUUAAUGAAUUUGGAUUUAAAAGUAAAUUUUAAAAUAUUUUAACGAAAACUAAAGCUCUAAAAU